GUGUCAGCAGCCGCGGUAAUACGGAGGGUGCAAGCGUUAAUCGGAAUUACUGGGCGUAAACCCCACGCAGGCGGUUUGUUAAGUGUCAUGUGAAAUCCCGGGGCUCAACCUCGGAACCGCAUUUGAAACUGGUUCACUAGAGUACUGUAGAGGGGGGUAGAAUUUCAGGUGUAGCGGUGGAAUGCGUAGAGAUCUGAAGGAAUACCGGUGGCGAAGGCGGCCCCCUGGACAGAUACUGACACUCAGAUGCGAAAGCGUGGGGAGCAAACAGGUUUAGAUACCCCGGUAGUCC
rnacentral:rRNA from 1 species